rnacentral:rRNA from 1 species
CGUCUUAGCCCAGGGCUACACACGUGCUACAAUGGGUGGUACAAAGAGAUGCCAACUCGCGAGAGCGCGCCAAUCUCAGAAAGCCAUCCUCAGUUCGGAUUGGAGUCUGCAACUCGACUCCAUGAAGUUGGAAUCGCUAGUAAUCGCGGAUCAGCACGCCGCGGUGAAUACGUUCCCGGGCCUU